CUCACAGCUGCACCACUCUGCAAACGACUCACAGGCGUUGCAGUUUCCUAUCGGGUCGCUGAAUGAUUUUAUGAGGGAAAAACAGCUGACCUGGCCAUGGCUCUUCUUCCAUAAAAUAAUCAAUUUUUGUAUUUAGCAACAGCAGGCCACAAACCGAGUUUCUUCCUUGGCUUCCAUUCCAGUUUAUGAGUCAAAAAUAAUUUUCCCCUUUUGCAAGUCCAACAUCGAUCCCACUUGGAAGCCGCGGUGGUCAAGAGAUUCCUCAGAAAUGAACCUGACAAAAUGGAGCUGCUGUUCAUCACCGUGAAGGAGACGAUGACGAGGUUCCCAACCCAAGCACUGGGCUACGCGCCUCUUCCACGCUGCACGAGACGAGAAACCUUUACCAGCUCCUCCUGCCUAAAGGUGAAGUCUACCAAAGUCCACAUUCCUGAGUGUGGAAGGUGAUCCUUUGCAGCCUGGCCCCAGCUCACCUGUUCAGCCUCCUCCUCCGACACCCUCAGGAAACCCCCUGCCUUCUGGCCCCAUCUAAUGCAUCUUGAUGUUCCCAGAAUGCAUCAGAGAACACCACCACUAAUGGGAAGACUGCCCCCUGACCGGCACAUGGCCUCAGCAUUCAUCCACAGAUGCUCCUCAAAUUGUUUUAAAAACAGCUUUUUUUAAAAGCUGUUUGUCUAUGAAGAUUAAAUGAGUUAAUAAUAUAAGCAAAGCACUUUGCAUGGCUACUGGGCACGGUGGUUCAUGCCUGUAAUUCCAGCACUUUGGGAGGCCGAAGCAGGUGGAUCACCUGAGGUCAGGAGUUCAAGACCAGCCUGAUCAACAUGGCGAAACCCUGUCUCUAUUAAAAAUACAAAAAAAAUAGCCGGGCAUGGUGGCACGUGCCUGUAAUCCCAGCUACUUGGGAGGCUAAGGCAGGAGAAUCGCUUGAACCUGGGAGGCAGAGGUUGCAGUGAGCCGAGACCUCGCCGUUGCACUCCAGCCUGGUUGACAGAGCAAGACUCUGUCUCAAAAAACAAAAAAACCCCAGCUUUUGUCCAGAGGUUGCUUUUUGUGGGUCUGUACGCUGAGGCCAAGUUCUAUGUAAGCAGAGCCCUCCCACCUCACCUCCAAACAAUGCCUCUAAACCAUCACAAUCUGAAAGGAAAAUAAAUCCCUUUCUUCAAUGGUGACCUGAAGCUAGCCAAGGACCGGGUGCUGGCAGGUGGCCUGCGAGACUGGGUCGGAUCCCGGGUUACUGUCUGAGGAGGGAUGCCGUGCUGUAAGGGUUGGGGAGCCAGUGUCUGGCUUCCUUGUCACCACAAGACCUGUGGUUUCCAGCUCUGUCUGCAUCCAGGUCCCACUAACCAACAGCAGGAGAGAAAACAGUUGUGCACACAGGCGGACGCGCACACGCGCACCUGGCCCCCCAGACGUGCACAGCCCUCAGAGGAAGUGGAGCACCAGAUGUUCUGGGUUUCCUGUUCGACGCUUCCACAGCUGGUCGAGUCUGUGGUUGUGGUUUGUCUGUCUCGGGCUCAUGUGAGAGACAAAAGCUGGGCUGACGGGAAACCUCUUCUCUCGGCCCCCACUCCCCAGCUCUGACUGAUUAGGAAACCUGGCAGGUCAGAAAUUUCCUGAAACACCCAGAGCUGGAUUCUCCCAAGAAGAAGCUGAACCCCCAACUCCCAUCCCUGAGGAGCAGCCCCUGGGCUGAUGAUCAGGACUUACAGAACCUGGGGCGAUGGAAACCUCUACAAAUAUCCCAUUUAGAAAGACCGCCAGCCCUGCCAACAGAAUGAAACGGAGGCCAGGUUGCUAUGGUCUCUACUCCAAUGCCUGACAUUGAGCCGCUGCUGCAAAACACUCAGCACAUGAAGGAAUGAAUGAGGAACAGAGAACUUCACCUUUGGGGGUUGGGUGUACAAGCCCCAACUGGGCCCCAAGUCCCAUAAAUAGCUUUGGAUUCCAACAUACAAGCAUUUGACGCAGCGAGGUGCUGCCGACUUGCUCUGUGACUUGGAGCAAGUCAUUUAGCCUCUCUGGGCCUGGUGUCCUCAUCUGCAGAAUGGAGAUGAUAAUAUCUACUUCACAAAGGUGUGAAGGCCCUGUGAGACACCGCAUGUGGAUUUCCUCGACAUUGUUUGCCCAUCGUAACUGCUCCAGAGAGGCUGGGCUCCCUUUUCUCGUUGCAACACUGCUGUUUAUUUCAGGAGAUACUCUAAAAGGGAAGCAAGCUAAAACAAAGAACAACCAAAAACACUGAUCCCGGGACAACUGCCCGGCAGGACAGCAGAGCAAGGGUACUUGGUGCUCUUCGUUGGGGGGAUGUUGGGAGAAGGGGCUGGAGCCAUCCCAGGGUCUCCAGGCUCUGGAAGGGAGCACCCCAUGUCCUCCUCUGGGUGUGGAAUAGGGUGAGUGUCUUAGGGGUGGAGAGAGAACAGGCAGAGUGUGCUCUCACCCCUUAGCUCUGUAGUGAUUUUAAUGAUUAAGGCUACUGUUCGGUCUGCAUUUGGACCUGAGCAACAGGGACCCCUGCCCAGAGGUCCAUCCUUCAGCAGCGUGCACUGCAUCCCCCUCCACUGCAGCUGACUCUAUGAGAUGAAGCAUCUGUCGCUCAGUGUAGCCAUCAGGUCCACUGCCCCUGAAAUAUGACUGACUAGGUUCAAAUGUUGACUCUGACACUUAGAAGCUGUGCCACCUUGGGGCAAGUUACUUCAUCUCUCUGUGCCUUACUUUCUUCCUUUAUAAAAUGGGUAAAAUAAUAACCACACCAUCGGUUGUCUAUGAAGAUUAAAUGAGUUGAUAAUAUAUGCAAAGCACUUAGCAUGGCUACUGGCACAAGGGUCAGUAAACGUUAACUGUUCCACACAUGAAUGUGUUUGAUUCUUAUAAUGCCCCAUGGGUAGAUUCUGUUAUUAGCUCUGUUUUACACAUGAGAAAACUUAGGCACAGGAGGUAAAGUAACAUUUGCAAGGUCACACCGUUAAGUAGCAAGGCUGAGGCUUUACUCCAGUUCUUUUUUUUUUUUUUUUUUUUGAGGCAUCUCACCAGGCUGGAGUGCAGUGGCACAAUCUCAGCUCACUGCAACCUCUGCCUCCCGGGCUCAAGCAAUUCUCCUGCCUCAGCCUCCCGAGUAGCUGGGAUUACAGGUGUGCACCACCAUGCCCGGCUAAUUUUUGUAUUUUUAGUAGAUACGGAGUUUCGUCAUGUUGGCCAGGCUGGUCUCGAACUCCUGACCUCAGG
rnacentral:lncRNA from 1 species